rnacentral:misc_RNA from 1 species
GGAUGCCAAGGCUGAAUUAAAUGCUUCCGUUAAGAACCUAAUUUCCAGAAUAAAGGUAAGGUGGCAAUCAGGAAGAAACAGCUCAGGAGAACUGAAUAUGAAGGAUGCCAUACAGGCAGCACUUCAGACAUCUGUUAUGGAUGUAUUGCUACCAGAUCCAUUGACAUUUGGCUUCAGGCUUGUUAGAAAUAAUUUCCCGCAAGAAUCUGAUAUGCCGUGUGACUCCGGUUCUGUGAUGGCUCAUGACCGGACUCCAAUGGAAGUUGUAGUCCGCAACAACACCAAAGAAAUCAUUAGGAUGAGUCUUAGCAUUACAUGCAGGGAUGUGGCUGGAGAGAAUUGCAUUGAGGGUAACAAGGCCACUGUCCUAUGGGCUGGUGUUUUGACUGGGAUUGCCAUGGAGGUUCCCCCACUUGAAGAAUCUAAGCAUCCUUUCUCACUGCAUUUUCUUGUCCCUGGUGAGUACACUUUAGUAGCUGCUGCUGUAAUUGAAGAUACUAAUGAUAUCCUGAGAACCCCGUGCAAAAACUGAUUCAGUUGACGAGCCGAUAUUUUGUCGAGGUCCCCCAUUCCAUAUUCGUGUCAUUGGAACUGCUUGACUAUUCUACCCAGAAUGGUCAAAUCACCUUAACAUUAGAUUCUUUCCAAUUCUGAUGAGUGCUGCACAACAUUAGCCGUUAAGGAUGUUUUUGGUAGCUUUAUUAUGGAUCCUAUUGCGUUCCCUGUUCCUGCCAGCAAUUCCCCUCUUACUGCACUAUUCAAGUUGAUCUGCAGAUGAAUUCAAUUGAUGCGCUUGUAAAUCUAAUUUUUAUCAAAUUCUAUUUUCCUGCUUUUCCUGUGAGGAAUCUAAUGAUUCUUUUGCAAUGCCGACCCUACUAUUAUAAUAAUUUCAAUCUGUAACUUUCCUUGGGGGUCUGGACGCUAGCCAGCAGUAGGAUUGUGCACAGUUCUUGGCACUUCAAAACAAAUUCGAAAAUCAAAUGAAACAAAUUGAAUUGAUAAAAAU